AUUGAACGCUGGCGGCACGCUUUACACAUGCAAGUCGAACGGCAGCGCGGGCUUCGGCCUGGCGGCGAGUGGCGAACGGGUGAGUAAUACAUCGGAACGUGCCCAGUAGUGGGGGAUAGCUCGGCGAAAGCCGGAUUAAUACCGCAUACGACCUGAGGGUGAAAGCGGGGGAUCUUCGGACCUCGCGCUAUUGGAGCGGCCGAUGGCAGAUUAGCUAGUUGGUGGGGUAAAGGCCUACCAAGGCGACGAUCUGUAGCUGGUCUGAGAGGACGACCAGCCACACUGGGACUGAGACACGGCCCAGACUCCUACGGGAGGCAGCAGUGGGAAAUUUUGGACAAUGGGCGAAAGCCUGAUCCAGCAAUGCCGCGUGUGUGAUGAAGGCCUUCGGGUUGUAAAGCACUUUUGGCGGGAACGAAAAGGACUGUGCCAAUACCACGGUUCGAUGACGGUACCCGCAGAAUAAGCACCGGCUAACUACGUG
rnacentral:rRNA from 1 species